rnacentral:rRNA from 1 species
AGAGUUUGAUCAUGGCUCAGGAUGAACGCUAGCGGCAGGCUUAAUACAUGCAAGUCGAGGGACAGCACAGGUAGCAAUACUGAGUGGUAACCGGCAAACGGGUGCGGAACACGUACACAACCUUCCUUUAAGUGGGGGAUAGCCCAGAGAAAUUUGGAUUAAUACCCCGUAACACAGUGAGUUGGCAUCAACUUAUUGUUAUAGCUACGGCGCUUGAUGAUGGGUGUGCGGCUGAUUAGAUAGUUGGCGAGGUAACGGCUCACCAAGUCUACGAUCAGUAGCUGAUGUGAGAGCAUGAUCAGCCACACGGGCACUGAGACACGGGCCCGACUCCUACGGGAGGCAGCAGUAAGGAAUAUUGGUCAAUGGACGCAAGUCUGAACCAGCCAUGCCGCGUGAAGGAUUAAGGUCCUCUGGAUUGUAAACUUCUUUUAUUUGGGACGAAAAAGGGCCUUUCUAGGUCAACUGACGGUACCAGAUGAAUAAGCACCGGCUAACUCCGUGCCAGCAGCCGCGGUAAUACGGAGGGUGCAAGCGUUAUCCGGAUUCACUGGGUUUAAAGGGUGCGUAGGCGGGUAGGUAAGUCAGUGGUGAAAUCCUAGAGCUCAACUCUAGAACUGCCAUUGAUACUAUUUAUCUUGAAUAUUGUGGAGGUAAGCGGAAUAUGUCAUGUAGCGGUGAAAUGCUUAGAUAUGACAUAGAACACCUAUUGCGAAGGCAGCUUACUACGCAUAUAUUGACGCUGAGGCACGAAAGCGUGGGGAUCAAACAGGAUUAGAUACCCUGGUAGUCCACGCCCUAAACUAUGAUUACUCGACAUUUGUGAUACACUAUAAGUGUCUGAGCGAAAGCAUUAAGUAAUCCACCUGGGAAGUACGUCCGCAAGGAUGAAACUCAAAGGAAUUGGCGGGGGUCCGCACAAGCGGUGG